UCAGCCCUCGAAACAUGCGGUGACCCCUUUACUCUUCGGAUCUGUCCGGAUUGAGGAUGGGUGCCCUUGCUCGUUUCUGAACUAGGCCGAGUUGCCUCGCAAACUCGGAUCGAGUUCCAAGUGCGGGGUUCACUCAGGGAAAGGUUGGGGGUUUUGCGCGCCGAUCAGUAGAUUCGGCGAGGCCGAUUUGCCUAGAUUUCAUAUUGGAUUGAGCUGGACAUCACGAUGAAACCUAUGAAGGUGAUUCUAGAAACUGUAGCUGACCUAAUUUUCAAUUAAGAUCAUUUGGAAAAGUAUUUUUUUCAUCAUACUAACUACUACCUGCCUCUCCUUACCAUUCUAGCACAAAUAAAAGACUUGAUAAAAACAAUCAAAAUGGACAAUACAUUAUGAGAUCAUAUAGGAGUGUCCUAAUACCUUAUACAUGGAUGUGCACAACAUUCUGUUUUACUUGAACUAGCCUGAAAUUUAUUAUGUCUAUGUAGCAAAUGGCCUGUAUGAUCUCAAAAUGUAUUGUCCAUUUUAUUUUUAUUUAUCAAGUCUUUUAUUUUGUUCUAGAAUGGUUAUGAGAGGGAGGUAGUUGUUAGUAUGAUGAAAAAAAUACUUUCCAAAAGAUCUGAAUUGAAAAUUAGGUUAGUUAUAGUUGAUCAUCUUAAAAACUUUAUAUACAUUGAAGUAGACAAAGAAGCCCAUGUGAAGGAGUGAUGUGGCAAUUGGAUGGAAGUAAAUUGGGGAGUGACAUUGCAAUUGGUUUAAGUAAACUGGACAGUAACGUGGUUUAAUAUUGCAUGUCAAGGGUGGAGAUGAUAGAAGCUUUUGAAUUAACUAAUGGAUAAGAAUCAUAGCACUAGUAUUUAUCUUUUAGUUGGUUUUAGUUAUAUAUUAUGUUUAUCUAUAUGAUUAGUAUAUUUUGAAAUUACAUUUUGUUAUGUGAUAAGAGUUGUAAUGCAAGUAAAAUACUUUCAUAUAGGAGUUUGUUUUAUGUAUUAUUCUAUAAAUAAUUGUAAAGGUAUGCUAUGUUAGAGGUCGAGCACCUCAGAAUCUUUUAUUAUUAUUGUUGCUUUCUCAAGCUUCUUCCCCA